CCCUUCUUAGCUCAGUUGGAAGAGCAUCAGACUGUAAUUGGUUAAAGAUCAUCUGGGGGUCGCCUGUUCGAACCAGGCAGAAGGGA
rnacentral:tRNA from 1 species